rnacentral:hammerhead_ribozyme from 1 species
AUCCAUCUGACGAGUCCCGAAUAGGACAAAGCGUGUGUCCUGAAU